ACUCCUACGGGAGGCAGCAGUGGGAAUAUUGGACAAUGGGGGAACCGUAGCAUCCAGCCAGCCGCGCGUCGUGUGAAGAAGGCCUUCGGGUUGUAAAGCACUUUCAGUGGGGAGGAAAGGUUGAUGGUUAAUACCUAUCAGCUGUGACGUUACCCACAGAAGAAGCACCGGCUAACUCCGUGCCAGCAGCCGCGGUAAUACGGAGGGUGCAAGCGUUAAUCGGAAUUACUGGGCGUAAAGCGUGCGCAGGCGGUCUGUUAAGCGAGAUGUGAAA
rnacentral:rRNA from 1 species